GGUUGUGGGGUCCUUAAUGAUGGACAAUGCCUUUCUGAGGCAUGAUGCAAAGGGCUAAAAACAGAAGUUAAUGUGUAAACCAUUCCUGGGCCGGUGUUACUGUUAUCUGUGAUAAGCUUCUUUGUUUUUGUUAUUACCCAAGGAGAUGCAGCAGACCUGGACCCGUUGUAAAUACUCCUUUGUUGAGAUGGCCUCUCUGUGCAGUGACGGUCGAUGAAUACCAGCUGCCAGCUUGUCGCUUACAAACAUCGCUAACAAAGCCAACCCAGGUGAAACUUCCACUGCCAUUGAGCUGGCAGAGAGAAGGGUAUUUGAAGUCCUGUGUACAAGCUCAGAGGUCCGCAGGAAGAACAGCCUAGGAGCCUGUGUGAAUGAUCUCUGUGAGGGUGGAGUGGUAGCUCGUGCCCCGUCCACCAUGAGGUCUGACCCGGGAUGGCUCCUUUGUCCACUGAAGCUAAUGAAAGUGAAGCCGGCCAGUGGUGUAGUGGGAUCAGCUCCGGCCCUUCGAGGUAAAUGGCCCCAGGUUCGAAUACGGCCAACUCCUUGCACGCUGGGAUUGAGCAUCGAGCGAGCACUUCAGAUAAAUGCUAAAGAAACAGUAACGUUGCCGCCGGACGUGCCACAAGGCACGGAAAGGAACAACAACAAAGCUCACGAAAUGAAAGACCAAAUGGCCAUUGACUAAAAGACCCUUGGUUGAGGACUGAAGGAUAAAGAUGAGCACAUGGAAGAAAUAUUCAUGCAGGCUUAAGGACUGCAUAUGAAAACUGGAUGGAGGAGAAAAGAAGGAAAGCUAUGUUACUUGUGUCCAAGUGGGUAAAACCUGCAGCAAUAAACUGCUCACCAACUGUCUCCUGUUGUUAAAUUAGAAUUUUAUACUCUUGACCUUUCACUGAACAACUAGUUGCUUCUUGUCCAAGAAGCAGUCAAGUCUUUUUGGUUGGGACCAUCAAAUGAAACCCUAUCUGCUCCCACAGGUGGAUGUAAAAUGUCCCAUUCCAGAGCUUGCAGGGAAGGAUGGGAGUUAUCCCUGGCGUCUCACCCAUUAUUUAUCACUCAGUAAGCAUUGUUUAAAGUAAAGGCCCUCAGGUCAUGAACAUUUUAUUGAUUUGUGGGAGCUUGCUUGCUGAUGAUUGUAUUUCCCAUGCUUUUCAAAGUACCACAUUUCAAAGUAUUUAGUUUUUUGGAGCAUCAAGAAAGAGAAAUUAACUGAAUUUCAAUAACAAGAGUCCUUCUUUUGGGAGCUCAGUUGGAGACACAGUUGCCUUUGAGAAGGCCUGCUCCCAUGGCUUCACCUGACCCUGAUCAGGGGGUGGGGGGGGGGGGUGCUGAGCAGGUGCUACGCCUUGCCCAGGGUGUCCUGCAGGCUAGCGGAGGGAAGGAGCACCUUACACCUCCUUUGGUAGAGAGAGAGACUUAUCUCCACCCCGCCACCCAAUGUUACAACGUACGUUCAAAGAUUCAAAGUACGUACACAGUAUAUGACCCUGAGAUUCCCCAUAGACAGCCAUAAAACAAAAAAACCAUGGAAACCAUUCAAAGAUGAACUUCAACCCUCCCCCUGCACAAAAAAUACACAGAAAUGCAUAAACAGCAAUGAAAAAAGAGAGUAAAACACACAAUAUAAAACUCAAAAAUUUACAAGAGUCCGGGCAUAUUCAGUUCAGUCUAGUUCCAUAUCUGCAGAUAAAACUACAAAUAAAGCUAAUCUUUCUUCUUUAAUCAGUUUGAAUCUUUAAGUGGAAGCUCAGGGUCACUCCCACGGACUGAGCACAGGUGUUCUGCAGAGAGAUUGCCCCACGUGUGUUUGGCUUCUCCAGUGCAGAGGAGACAUUGAACAUAGUAUACAGAUUGCAAUGCUGAGAGUAUGUGAGACGUCCGGUGCUGGAAUCUUGUUGGAGCUGGCAGAAGUUGUGAAGACGGUCCACGAGAAUGAUCGGGAGGAAGGGAUUGGAGCCCACCCUUUCCAGUGGCUGGGCAGUCUCUCGAUUCACAUUCAGGUGACUGGCCACUGACGUUAAACUGUGAGUGGGAUUAUCUGAUAAACUGCAGCACUUCACCAAUGUUCCAAAGCCUAAAUGAUGUGAAGAUACCUGUCAAAUGCGGAGGAACUCAUUUCACCUUUCUGGAAUACAACGAGACCCCAUAAAGUCAUGAGGCACCAUGCGACCAGGGGAAUGAGCUGCCAUGCACUAUGCCACCAAGCCACCAUCUUCGUCAAGUACCCAUGCCACCGCCAGGGGAUGAGCAAUCAGCUGGCAGAGAAGAACGCCAGCGGAGCAGUCAGCAAACUCACCCACACAGAAAGGCAGAACAGAUCCGACCAGCUGUUGUGAGUCACGAACUGGGUCCUCUCUGCACCGGCUAGCCAGUAACCUGCCUCUAUCUUCUUCUCCAACCCACCACCACAACCAUCUUAGCAUCAGGCACCUAACUAAACUUUUUCCACAAUGGAAAGUGACCUCCUGCCUAACAAAUUUUCACAUGAUAAAGGUUCUUUAGAAAUAUAAUCUCUUCAUUAAUCUGGGGAGGUGUCUAUUAACUAAAUUAUUGAUCUGCUGGUUCAAGUAAUUCUCUCUUUCCCACCAUAUUUUUAUUGUGUUUGGUAUAAAUUAUUUUAGUACAGUAUUUUCAUAGUGAGGUAUAUGUAAUGCAUCCUAGCCAUUAUUUAAGUGGCUUCAGAAGAGGAAAACGUAAGUGAUGUCAGCAAACCAAAGAGAAUUCUAUCUGUCUCUUUGAUUGUUUCUAGCACUUACCAAGAUCCAACUGUACAUCCAUUGUUUUCUAGAUGAUCCGAGCAGACCUAUCAGCAACCUACAUCCGACUCAGUCUGAUCCAAUUCUUUGGACCAAUCUCUGCUCUCAGCCAGUGAAAAAUAAACCACUCAAGCAAACACCUGAUGCUAUGUGUGUUUCUGGUUUUUGGUUACUCUGUUAUUUGUUGCUAUUUUGCGUGACAUCGAACGGGGCGGACGGGCUCUGGUCCUGCAGUCAACUAACGACGCAGCGCUAAAUCUAACUGAACUGAACUAAACUGACCAUUCCCAGACUGUUGCAAGGACUCCGCAGUUUGAUGUUUAAUAUUCCAUGUGUUAUUUGUCAUUUUUUGUCAUUUGCGCGAUUUGUUCUUUUUUUUGCACGUCGGGUGUUUGAUGCUUUCUUUGAAUGGGGUCCAUGGUGUUUCUU